rnacentral:rRNA from 1 species
GUUUUAGUGGCGAACGGGUGAGUAACACGUAAGCAACCUACCCUAAAGACGAGGAUAACCAUUGGAAACAGUGGCUAAGACUGGAUAGGAAGAUAAAAGGCAUCUUUUAUCUUUUAAAAGACCUAGUAAUAGGUAUGCUUUAGGAGGGGCUUGCGCCAUAUUAGUUAGUUGGUAGGGUAAUGGCCUACCAAGACGAUGAUGUGUAGCUGGACUGAGAGGUUGAACAGCCACAUUGGGACUGAGACACGGCCCAAACUCCUACGGGAGGCAGCAGUAGGGAAUUUUCGGCAAUGGAGGAAACUCUGACCGAGCAACGCCGCGUGAAUGACGAAGUACUUCGGUAUGUAAAGUUCUUUUAUCAAGGAAGAAAAGCAAAUGGCGAACCAUUUGUUUGCCGGUACUUGAUGAAUAAGCCCCGGCUAAUUAUGUGCCAGCAGCCGCGGUAAGACAUAAGGGGCAAGUGUUAUCCGGAAUUAUUGGGCGUAAAGGGUGCGUAGGCGGUCUAGUAAGUCAGUGGUGUAAUGGCAACGCUUAACGUUGUCCGGCUAUUGAAACUGCUAAACUUGAGUUAGAUAGAGGCGAGUGGAAUUCCAUGUGUAGCGGUAAAAUGCGUAAAUAUAUGGAGGAACACCAGAGGCGUAGGCGGCUCGCUGGGUCUUAACUGACGCUGAGGCACGAAAGCGUGGGGAGCAAACAGGAUUAGAUACCCUGGUAGUCCACGCCGUAAACGAUGAGUACUAAGUGUCGGGUUAAACCGGUACUGAAGUUAACACAUUAAGUACUCCGCCUGAGUAGUACGUACGCAAGUAUGAAACUUAAAGGAAUUGACGGGACUCCGCACAAGCGGUGGAUCAUGUUGUUUAAUUCGAAGAUACCCGAAAAACCUUACCAGGUCUUGACAUGUUUUUGCAAAAUGAUAGUAAUAUCGUGGAGGUUACCAGAAACACAGGUGGUGCAUGGUUGUCGUCAGCUCGUGUCGUGAGAUGUUAGGUUAAGUCCUAAAACGAGCGAAACCCUUAUCGUUAGUUGCCAGCACGUUAUGGUGGGGACUUUAACGAGACUGCCAAUGAUAAAUUGGAGGAAGGUGAGGAUCACGUCAAAUCAGCAUGCCCCUUAUGACCUGGGCUACAAACGUGAUACAAUGGCUGUUACAAAGGGUAGCUGAAACGCAAGUUCUUGGCCAAUCCCCAAAAACAGUCCCAGUCCGGAUUGAAGUCUGCAACUCGACUUCAUGAAGUUGGAAUCGCUAGUAAUCGCGAAUCAGCAUGUCGCGGUGAAUACGUUCUCGGGGUUUGUACACACCGCCCGUCAAACCACGAAAGUUGGCAAUACCCCAAAACGGUAGCCUAACUCGUUU